rnacentral:rRNA from 1 species
AUUGAACGCUGGCGGCAGGCUUAACACAUGCAAGUCGAGCGAGCGGCGGAAGGGUGAGUAAUGUCUGGGAAACUGCCUGAUGGAGGGGGAUAACGACUGGAAACGGUAGCUAAUACCGCAUACCAUCAGAUGUGCCCAGAUGGGAUUAGCUAGGAGGUGGGGUAAAGGCUCACCUAGGAGACGAUCCCUAGCUGGUCUGAGAGGAUGACCAUCCACACGGGAACUGAGACAUGGUCCAGACUCCUACGGGAGGCUGCAGUGGUGAAUAUUGCACAAUGGGCGCAAGCCUGAUGCAGCCAUUCCGCGUGUAUGAAGAAGGCCUUCGUGUUGUAAAGUACUUUCAGCGGGGAUGCGUUACCCGCAUAAGAAGCACCGGCUAACUCCGUGCCAGCAGCCGCGGUAAUAC